rnacentral:tRNA from 1 species
GGACUGUUAGCUCAGUUGGUAGAGCACCUGGUUUACACCCAGGUGGCCGCAGGUUCGAGUCCUGCACGGUCCA